AGAUGUGGUGAUGAUAGGCAAAAAAUGUUCAACUGCUCUGAAAAGGUGAAUGAAAAAUGGCCUUUCUGAACAUCC